GAAAUUUUUUGUGAAAAUAAAAAAGUUUUGAUUGGUAUUGAUUUCAAUGCAAGAAUGGGUCACCCUAAUUUACUUACCUUCUUUACUGAUGAAGGAUGAGGAUUCGAGGUUGGUAACAAGAAAUUCUUGCGAUAAUUCUUAUAAUGAAUGUGAUAAAAAGUUGUAUUAUUGGUGUGUAAAUAAUAAUUUAUUAUAUCUUAAUGGCUUAUUACCCAGUGAUCCUAUGGGAGAUUAUACUUUCCACUCAGAUGGGGGGUCUAGAAUCAUUGAUUAUAACUUUGCAAGAUACUUAUAGAUAUUUAAAUUAAUGAUAUUAUAGUUUUGUCUGAUAUGUAUUCAGAUCAUUUCCCUAUACUUUGCCUUCUGUCUAGCUUAAGUAACUUAGUUGUAUUUCAGGGAAAAUGUUCCAGAUGGAU
rnacentral:lncRNA from 1 species